GACAGAGGGUGCAAGCGUUAAUCGGAAUUAUUGGGCGUAAAGAGCGCGUAGGUGGAUCGUUAAGUUGGAUGUGAAAUCCCUGGGCUUAACCUGGGAAUUGCAUUCAAAACUGGCGGUCUAGAGUAUGGUAGAGGGAAGUGGAAUUUCUGGUGUAGCGGUGAAAUGCGUAGAUAUCAGAAAGAACACCAGUGGCGAAGGCGACUUCCUGGACCAAUACUGACACUGAGGUGCGAAAGCGUGGGGAGCAAACAGG
rnacentral:rRNA from 1 species